GUCAGGGGCGGGAAGGGAGCUCGGGCGGAAGGCGGCGGAGGUCUCCGGACGGCCGCCCCGGGCGCCGCGGGCGGAGAUGCGCGGGGAGCGGACGUGGACAGCCCUCGGCCCUGGGAGCAGAGUGAACCCUCGGGCACAGGCACCGACCGUCACGAGCUAACUUCCUGGAAGAGCUUCCCGUCUAUUUUCAAGUUCUUUACCGAAGCCUCUGAGGCAAAGACCAGUUCCCUCAAGCCGGCUCUGACGCGGCGCUCCCACAGAAUAAAGCACGAAGAGCUGUAAGAGGAGGACGAGCGAGACGGGGGAGGGGAAGCCAAGGCACCACACUCGAGCAUGCAUCCACACGUCUCCUAACUGCUUGUCGGCGAGCAGACUCCCAGCCCCUCAUUAGAUUGUUUUCUUCCUAGAGCACAGGGUCGUGAUAUAUACAUCUAAAUAGCGUUUUGCAUUAUUUCUAGAUGAGUGCAACUGUCAAAGCAAUAUGGGUUCACUGGUCGUGCUUCCCGCGGGCUGAGCUCGGGCUUCGCGCUGCCCGUCAGCGCGCAGAUUAAGGCUGACAGCGCCCUGCUCGGCGCGGCCGGCGCGCCUCUAAUUGCCCUGACGGAGCCCGCGCCGGCGCUGCGGGGCGAGCGGCGUCUGCGCGGUCCUACCGCCCGCUGCAGCGCAGCCGCCUCUGGCACCCGCCCCCGGCCCCCCUCAAUCAUGUCCAGGUUUUUUCUCCGAACAGAAGCAAACUUUUAUUCUAGAUUUCAAACUUCCAUUUUAGGUAGGUUUUCCUCUAAGAGCCUCUUACGCAUUUUUUUUUUAAAGGAAGUUCCCCCCCAACCUCCCCAGAAAAGCCAAAUUUUUAAAUGCAGAACGUGAAUGCCGUGAUGUGCUAUGUCGUCCUGGGAGUGCAAAUUGUUCUCUAACAAUCUAUUUUCGAUUCGAGACCAGAAGAAAAACUUUGCGUGAAAAUCUAUGAAGUACCGAUGACACAUUACCGCUGAAAAUCCUUGCCAUUUUGAAUACGAGAUUUUACACAAGUCUCGAAUUUCAGAAGAUCGUUUAAACCAAAACGUAAUGAUGAGCAAAUCUUUUAAGUUGUGAAAGGUCCCGUUUUCAAUGGAAUUUCCAACUUUAUCAUUAGAAUUGACUUUACUUUUUAAAUGUAUAAUGUGUAUUGAGUGGCAUUGUAAUUUAGAUCACACACUUGUUUUGCUUUUAAAAUCCUAAUGUGCAGAAAGUUUGUUGUUGUUGUUGUUGAUAAUCCUAACUAGCAUGAUCUAUUCUGAGCUUUCAUGGAGUUAGACCUUGUUAGGGAUAGUAUUUAUUGUCAUUAGGAAAAUGAACCUGUGUGCUGUUCUACCUUUUCCUUCUGAAAGGCUUAAGUGGAGCUAAAAUGAUUCUUCUAGGUUUCUGUUCCGAAAGAAAGGGAAAGAAAGACCUGGUGUGAAAGAUUUUCUCCUCUCAAUACAAUGGCAUAAUUUUUAGUAGUCCACUUCCUCUGUAGGGUUUUGCCCUACGGUUUCAACAAUUACUUUAAUCCAGCUAAUAUCUGGCCAACACUGUGAAAUAUAAGAGGUAAAAUAAGUUAAGAUUUUGCUGACUUUUAAAUUCAAAUAUUAAAUCUUAACAUCAAUUUUUAAUUACUUGAAUUUAAUUACCUAGUAAAGUUCUGUUUGUAGCAGAUGAUGGUCUGAAUUUAAUAUUUUUUCAUCCUUUUUUAAAGUAUAUGCAACAACAUGCCUGCCUUAUUUGAGGACGUGAUAAAAUGUACCCAAAAUGACUUAGAACUGUCUGACUCCUCAGAAAAAUAACUUAAAAUAACCACCUCAUGGAUGAGAUGUUUUUAUAUUAUGAACCGAUUUCAGCAAGUUUUAAAACUGAUAAUAUCUGUGUUUGGUAUGUAAGUACAAUAAUUUGUUCUUACAGUUUUAAUGAUGGCAAAUUAAAGUGAUCUUUUUUCAGUGGUCAUAUGUACGUAUCUUUUGAUAUUAUCUUAGCAGAAACAACACAGGAAAAAAAUCAAAACGUCAUUUUAUCCACACCUGGAUAACUUAAUAUGUGUAACCCCAACAAUGUCAAGCAUGUUGGUCUGCAGUCUUUUCUGUUUUAGAAGUAAUGGUGAACUGUAUGCAAUAAUGGGACCUUCCUUUGAGAGGAUCUGAAAAUUGAUGUGGAUUGAAUAUAUUUUUCAGAGUGUUAUAAAUUGUUUGGUGUUUUGACUAUAUGAAAGUAUUCACAGGAAAACUAAUUUUAUGUGUUUUUUUUUUAAUCAGCACUUGUGCAGUGCUAAAUUUCUGAAGCUUAUGCACCUGAAUUAGAGCAAAGUAAAUGUGCUCAGCUUAGACACCAAAUCACUCCUAUUCCUUCUCUUCGUUUUUCUCACUUCUCUUUUUGAAAACCUUUACUUGCAACUAGAGUGAAUCACUGUUUAAUUGCCUUUAAUACUUUAAAACUACUGGGUUGUUAGCCUUGUUUAACCAUCUAUAGAGAGCUAUUUGCAAACUUAAGUUGUGCAAAUGUAAUUUCUACUUGUGGAUCUGAGCUGCAGCAACCCGGAGAGAGCUAGGCAAACCAUCCGAGACCUCCAACUGAUAAGUGAUAAGAUUCCUUGUAAUGUAGGAUUUUUUUUUAACCUGUUGAUUAUGUGUCUGUUGGUAUAAAUGUAGUAAUAUCAUCCACCUCAAUUUUCCUGGAGUAACAACAAUCAGUUGGUAGUAGCCCGCCUGCUUGGAGGUGACAAGUGUUAACAGUAUUUCUGCUCUGAUCUUCUUCCCAUUUUGGUUUCUUUAGACAGGUUUUUAGGAGAGUAGUGGCUUAAAGUUAGGAUGUAGACUUUUUUAAAAAUUAUAUACUCAGUUCUUAGAGCAAAUGGAAUGGGAAGGAAGGAGUUGAUAAAUCUGAGAUUCAAAAUAGUCCUGUUAAAACUUAAAAGCGAGAUACUGGCUCUAGAACUUUAUAAAGGUAUCUAACCAUGCAGCCGUUAAAAGUUUUCAUGGAUAUUUGAAGGGGGGAGAAAAUCUAUUUGUAAUAAUUGUUUUCUUAAGUUUCUGCCUUGUGCUUCAACCUGGAUUGCAUUAUUGUUUAUACAAAAAGAAAAAAGUAAAGCACAGGAGUUUCAUAUAUAUUUCUGUUUAUCAUUUUAAAAUAAAAACAAUUUUCCCAACAAGCAGCGGCGUAUUAUUCUUGCUCAGAAGUUCAUUUAUUCGUGUACAGAGGUUAAUAAAAGCAGAAACUUGAAUGAUGGAACAGCAUUCAUCAAUAUUUUAAACCGUAUAGCUGUUUUUAUUACUAUUACUGUUGCUGUAAGGUAACACCCUAACUUCACUUGAUUACUUACUAUUUGGCUUGGACCUUUCACAAAGCCAGUAUUUUUUUAAGGUGUUUUGUUUUUAAUAUCUAAAAUAUCUUUAGCUACAAAGAAAUUUGAACCCAUUGUUAAGCUAUGAUUUUAUAAAGUACACUUUAAUAUACUGUAAAGAAAUGUGUUUUCCAGAAGGAAUCUGGUGACAUUACAUUGCUCCCAAGUCCCUAUAUAGGUCCUUGAUGUUUACAUCUAAUCUGAAAAUCCUGUUUACAUUUAUUUUACUGCUUUUCCUCCCUUAAAACCUGUAACUCCUUUGAGAGAGUUUGGGUGACAAAAUAUGUUAACUAUAUUAUCAGGGCUAAUAAGUUAAAUUUUUUCACCUGUUUCUCUGGAUUAUCUGGAGUCCCAAUCCAAACACAUGUGUGUCUCCUGUUACAAUCAUAGUUUAUAACUGUAAACUGACAGGUUCCUGUGAUCCUGAUUCAUUUAAGAAAGAUUACUAUUACAGAAAGUCUAAAAAUUUCUCAAAAACUUUCCCCAUACCUCUAUAGGGGAAAAUGUCUUUAAAUAAAUGUGAGACAUUCUCAUCUUUGAAAUAUGGGUGGCAAAAAAAAAAAAAAGGAUAAUAGUGGUGGUUAUUUUAUGAUUACUUAUUAGGAGCUGUAAUAAUAUAAAAUAAAAGACUCCAGGAGGUACUCCCUUUCAAAAAUUGAAUACUUUCCUUCCUUCCUUCCUUGUAUAGAGUGACUGAGUGGGAGUCUCUUGAAUUGUUCGUCUUCCUUUUAUCUAAUAUUCUAUUAAUCUCCAAAAAGAUCAGUUUGAGUCUGGGAAAGGGUUUUUAAUCAACACUUCACAGAGCUUAAAGCUACCCUACCUAAAGCGUCAGCUUUGUUAGGCGGUUUUAGAUUUAAAGCAUUGCAACUGUCAUGCACUGUACUAAAAGUAAAGAAUGUACACCAAGUGGAAGAUGUUGAAAAGAAGGAAAUAGCACAAAGUCGAUUAACAGAGAUUCGAGAAUAGAAGUAGCCAUCAAAGCAUUCCAACGUUUAUCUCAAAAUCUAUGUAGAGAAAAAAAAAAAAA